UGUCUGCAUAAUAUAAAUAGAUGUAGUGCUUGAAUAGCAAUACUGUAUUCAUCUUAUUUGAAUGAUCCUUGUUCUUUUGUAAAUACUGACAAAGAUACAACACAGUUACUUCUCUUGUCGAUUAUUUCACUUAUUUUUUUUUAUUUUUUUUAUUAUUUUAGAGUGCUUGAAAUACGCGAUAGUUAUAUACACCUAGAAAAAGACGCCGAUAAACUUGAUUACAAACGUUGGCUGGAAAAGUCAAAUUAUCAGCCAACGACUUCAUACAUAUUCGCACUUACAUUGACGUCAGCAUGCUAUGGGGUAGGGUUGGGAUUUAUUUGUGGCACACAAAAGCGAUUUGUCUCCGAAUCCAUCACGGUCACACAUAUGGAUUUUUAUUUCUAGAAAACAAUAGAAAAAGGUUAAUGAAGAAACCUGAAAAAAAUACAUUUUUCAGAAAUGCAUGCUUUCCGCAAUACCGAGUUUUAAAACAGCUGUUUGGCACCAUAUUUGUGACUUUAAACUUGACUUGACUAAUUAGCUCAUUCAAAUGUGCAGUU
rnacentral:lncRNA from 1 species